UUAGAUAUUAACUUAAAAUAUGAGGGGAUAAACACUUUUUCAAAAUUCUCCCUUGGUCUGUCAUUGCUAUGCCCUCUUCAGUCUUCUUGUCUUCAUCUGUCUAGGUCCAGCCAGCCUGCUGCAGUUGGUCCAAAAUCUCACAGAAGCUCCAAACUUUGUGGCUAAAGAGUGCACAUUUAGUCAGGCUGCUUGAGUCCUGGUCAUAGCUGUACCAUAUGUUAGCAAGUUGCUUAACCUCUCUAUCAGUUUCCAAUCAGUAAAAUUAGAAUAAUAGUAUUUGCUUCCUCAUAUUGUGAGGACCAAAUAAGAAGAAUCAUGUAAAUAUCUUAGCAAUGUGCCUGGCUUGCCCAAUAAAGAUUAGCUACCAUCUCCCCAUACUUGUGAAAAUUGUAUCAUAGUGUUGAUCCUUGUAUGUGCCCUGACCGGGACCAAACCUGCAACCUUGACACAUUGGGAUGAUGCUUUAACCAACUGAGUGUGCCAAGGCGCUGCCAAACUGAAUUCAUAUGAGAGUUCCCCUAAAGUCAAGUUCUGAAAUUACCUGUCCAGCUAGCCAAACCGAGAGCUCCUGAAACACUCGGGACAGAUUCCCAAGAAUUAUCACACUGCUCAGCACAGAGGAAGUAUCAGCAAAAGACCCAAGGACAGGAGGAUACUUUUGUCUUGAAUUGGGAGAUGAAUCCCUUCUGGGUUGACCAGCAAAGCCUCCAAAAACUCUGAGCCCUUCUUGUAAAGUCUGUAGAGUGUGAUUACAAACAACAACAGACUCUAAAAUAAAACAACACAAGUUGAA